rnacentral:rRNA from 1 species
AGCGUACACGGUGGAUGCCCUGGCAGUCAGAGGCGAUGAAGGACGUGCUAAUCUGCGAUAAGCGUCGGUAAGGUGAUAUGAACCGUUAUAACCGGCGAUUUCCGAAUGGGGAAACCCAGUGUGUUUCGACACACUAUCAUUAACUGAAUCCAUAGGUUAAUGAGGCGAACCGGGGGAACUGAAACAUCUAAGUACCCCGAGGAAAAGAAAUCAACCGAGAUUCCCCCAGUAGCGGCGAGCGAACGGGGAGGAGCCCAGAGCCUGAAUCAGUGUGUGUGUUAGUGGAAGCGUCUGGAAAGGCGCGCGAUACAGGGUGACAGCCCCGUACACAAAAAUGCACAUACUGUGAGCUCGAUGAGUAGGGCGGGACACGUGGUAUCCUGUCUGAAUAUGGGGGGACCAUCCUCCAAGGCUAAAUACUCCUGACUGACCGAUAGUGAACCAGUACCGUGAGGGAAAGGCGAAAAGAACCCCGGCGAGGGGAGUGAAAAAGAACCUGAAACCGUGUACGUACAAGCAGUGGGAGCACAGAGCAAUCUGUGUGACUGCGUACCUUUUGUAUAAUGGGUCAGCGACUUAUAUUCUGUAGCAAGGUUAACCGAAUAGGGGAGCCGAAGGGAAACCGAGUCUUAACUGGGCGUUAAGUUGCAGGGUAUAGACCCGAAACCCGGUGAUCUAGCCAUGGGCAGGUUGAAGGUUGGGUAACACUAACUGGAGGACCGAACCGACUAAUGUUGAAAAAUUAGCGGAUGACUUGUGGCUGGGGGUGAAAGGCCAAUCAAACCGGGAGAUAGCUGGUUCUCCCCGAAAGCUAUUUAGGUAGCGCCUCGUGAAUUCAUCUCCGGGGGUAGAGCACUGUUUCGGCAAGGGGGUCAUCCCGACUUACCAACCCGAUGCAAACUGCGAAUACCGGAGAAUGUUAUCACGGGAGACACACGGCGGGUGCUAACGUCCGUCGUGAAGAGGGAAACAACCCAGACCGCCAGCUAAGGUCCCAAAGUCAUGGUUAAGUGGGAAACGAUGUGGGAAGGCCCAGACAGCCAGGAUGUUGGCUUAGAAGCAGCCAUCAUUUAAAGAAAGCGUAAUAGCUCACUGGUCGAGUCGGCCUGCGCGGAAGAUGUAACGGGGCUAAACCAUGCACCGAAGCUGCGGCAGCGACGCUGAUGCGUUGUUGGGUAGGGGAGCGUUCUGUAAGCCUGCGAAGGUGUGCUGUGAGGCAUGCUGGAGGUAUCAGAAGUGCGAAUGCUGACAUAAGUAACGAUAAAGCGGGUGAAAAGCCCGCUCGCCGGAAGACCAAGGGUUCCUGUCCAACGUUAAUCGGGGCAGGGUGAGUCGACCCCUAAGGCGAGGCCGAAAGGCGUAGUCGAUGGGAAACAGGUUAAUAUUCCUGUACUUGGUGUUACUGCGAAGGGGGGACGGAGAAGGCUAUGUUGGCCGGGCGACGGUUGUCCCGGUUUAAGCGUGUAGGCUGGUUUUCCAGGCAAAUCCGGAAAAUCAAGGCUGAGGCGUGAUGACGAGGCACUACGGUGCUGAAGCAACAAAUGCCCUGCUUCCAGGAAAAGCCUCUAAGCAUCAGGUAACAUCAAAUCGUACCCCAAACCGACACAGGUGGUCAGGUAGAGAAUACCAAGGCGCUUGAGAGAACUCGGGUGAAGGAACUAGGCAAAAUGGUGCCGUAACUUCGGGAGAAGGCACGCUGAUAUGUAGGUGAAGUCCCUCGCGGAUGGAGCUGAAAUCAGUCGAAGAUACCAGCUGGCUGCAACUGUUUAUUAAAAACACAGCACUGUGCAAACACGAAAGUGGACGUAUACGGUGUGACGCCUGCCCGGUGCCGGAAGGUUAAUUGAUGGGGUUAGCGCAAGCGAAGCUCUUGAUCGAAGCCCCGGUAAACGGCGGCCGUAACUAUAACGGUCCUAAGGUAGCGAAAUUCCUUGUCGGGUAAGUUCCGACCUGCACGAAUGGCGUAAUGAUGGCCAGGCUGUCUCCACCCGAGACUCAGUGAAAUUGAACUCGCUGUGAAGAUGCAGUGUACCCGCGGCAAGACGGAAAGACCCCGUGAACCUUUACUAUAGCUUGACACUGAACAUUGAGCCUUGAUGUGUAGGAUAGGUGGGAGGCUUUGAAGUGUGGACGCCAGUCUGCAUGGAGCCGACCUUGAAAUACCACCCUUUAAUGUUUGAUGUUCUAACGUUGACCCGUAAUCCGGGUUGCGGACAGUGUCUGGUGGGUAGUUUGACUGGGGCGGUCUCCUCCUAAAGAGUAACGGAGGAGCACGAAGGUUGGCUAAUCCUGGUCGGACAUCAGGAGGUUAGUGCAAUGGCAUAAGCCAGCUUGACUGCGAGCGUGACGGCGCGAGCAGGUGCGAAAGCAGGUCAUAGUGAUCCGGUGGUUCUGAAUGGAAGGGCCAUCGCUCAACGGAUAAAAGGUACUCCGGGGAUAACAGGCUGAUACCGCCCAAGAGUUCAUAUCGACGGCGGUGUUUGGCACCUCGAUGUCGGCUCAUCACAUCCUGGGGCUGAAGUAGGUCCCAAGGGUAUGGCUGUUCGCCAUUUAAAGUGGUACGCGAGCUGGGUUUAGAACGUCGUGAGACAGUUCGGUCCCUAUCUGCCGUGGGCGCUGGAGAACUGAGGGGGGCUGCUCCUAGUACGAGAGGACCGGAGUGGACGCAUCACUGGUGUUCGGGUUGUCAUGCCAAUGGCACUGCCCGGUAGCUAAAUGCGGAAGAGAUAAGUGCUGAAAGCAUCUAAGCACGAAACUUGCCCCGAGAUGAGUUCUCCCUGACUCCUUGA